UGUUUUUUAAAUAAAGACCUGUAUGAAAGGCAAGACGAAAGCUUAACUGUCUCCUUUGUCUAGUCUACGAACCUGAUCUCCCUGUAAAAAAGCAGGGAUACGCCCGUAAGACGAGAAGACCCUAUGGAGCUUAAGAUAAACAGACAACUUUACCACUCACCCACAGUAAAACCUGCCUUACUAUCUUCAGUUGGGGCGACUACGGAGCACACAAACCCUCCGCGAACUAUAUACUAAACAACACAAAUUGACGCAUUAAAACAUUAAAACAAUUGACCCAAUAACUUGAUCAACGAACCAAGCUACCCUAGGGAUAACAGCGCAAUCCUCUUUUAGAGUCCUUAUCGGCGAGAAGGUUUACGACCUCGAUGUUGGAUCAGGGUAUUCCAGGCAUGCAGCCGUUGUCAUAGGUUUGUUUGUU
rnacentral:rRNA from 1 species